UACGUAGGUGGCGAGCGUUGUCCGGAAUUACUGGGUGUAAAGGGCGUGUAGGCGGGGAUAUAAGUCAGAUGUGAAAUUCCAUGGCUUAACUGUGGGACUGCAUCUGAAACUAUGUUUCUUGAGUGCUGGAUAGGGAAGCGGAAUUCCUAGUGUAGCGGUGAAAUGCGUAGAUAUUAGGAGGAACACCAGUGGCGAAGGCGGCUUUCUGGACAGUAACUGACGCUGAGGCGCGAAAGCGUGGGGAG
rnacentral:rRNA from 1 species